UUUGCGUCUGGGAAGGGUUCCUAAAAUACUGCCACUGCAGUGUUCUAAAAGGGCCAAUUUUUUCUUAAAACAGGGUUUUGCUGCAGCAUUAGAGAAAGAGAAAAAAAAUUUAAGAGCCUCUCCUCUCUGCUGGGGUCUCCAAUCCCCUUGACGCCGACCGAUGAGCCACCUCAGUGGUUCGCCGCACCACCACUAUGGCUGGUGGCCGACGACAAGCGACGACGGGGAGGUGUCAGACGAGCAUGGUGAAGUGCGGCGGCGGCGUGCAGGGAGUUGGAGCGGCGCACAGGGGCAGGGGCGUGCAUGCGGCGCUGGAGAGGGUUAGGGUUCGCUCCCCUCUACCGAAACUGUUAAUGUUAUUUGGGCUAGGUUUUUUAAUAUUUUGGGCCCGUUGGGUUUAUUUAAUUUUGGUUUUGGGCCACAACUGUAAUGGACUAUUUUAUUUUGGAAUUUGGGGCUCUAUUUU